UACGUAGGGUGCAAGCGUUGUCCGGAAUUAUUGGGCGUAAAGAGCUCGUAGGCGGUUUAUCGCGUCUGCUGUGAAAACUCGGGGCUUAACUCCGGGCCUGCAGUGGGUACGGGCAGACUAGAGUGCGGUAGGGGAGACUGGAAUUCCUGGUGUAGCGGUGAAAUGCGCAGAUAUCAGGAGGGACACCGGUGGCGAAGGCGGGGUCUCUGGGGCCGUAACUGACGCUGAGGUGCGAAAGCGUGGGGGAGCAAAACAGG
rnacentral:rRNA from 1 species